UGAGCCAAGUUUAGGGUUUUCUCAAAACCCAAGCAGUAUUGAACUGAAGAGUUUGAUCAUGGCUCAGAUUGAACGCUGGCGGCAGGCCUAACACAUGCAAGUCGAGCGGAUGAAGGGAGCUUGC
rnacentral:rRNA from 1 species